GCAGGCUAGGAGACAGCAAUGGGCACUCCCAGUCACCCUACAAUGGUAUCUGCUUAUAUGCUUUUGCAGAAGGGUGAGUGGGAGUUAUCCCUUCUCAAUAAAAAUAGAAAACGUUUCAGAGCCGAGCGCUGUUGUAAGUUACCACAGAUGCGAGAAAAGAAAAACUACUGACCCGGCCUGCAGAAAAAAAACCAGCAAUGUCAUUUCUAUUAUCUCAACUUCUUGCAAUAUAGUGAAACAAUUACAUAUAUGUUUAUGAAUGUUACAAAUUUCUCUUAAAUAUAGAAUAUACUGUACAUGUAUUUUGGCUAUUAUUUCCUUCAUAUAUUUUAUUUAUUAUUUAAAUGUCUGCACUGUCGUAUAAGCCUGCAAGCUCAACAAUAUUUUGCAGCCCCAGAAAUAACAUGAAUAUAAUCUGUAAUUAUUCAAAUGAGAAAUUGCUUUUAUGCCACUGCAUUUAGUUUUUUUCCCCCAAGAGUGCGAUUUUUAGGCUUUUGUACAAUAAAAUGAUGAAAAUAAAACAGUAAUGUCUGUAUCAGAUUCUGGAUAAAAGUUUUGUAUAUAAUUUAAAUUAGCAGUUUUACAACAGACAUUACCUAAAAAUUCCACCUGCCUAGAAAUCGUUUUCUGAAAAUGCA